AUUGAAUGGACUAAAGCGGGGCUUCCAGAAAGGUAGGUAAAAUACAGUUUUUACUCUAUUCUGAGUGGGGCCGGGAAAACUAAACAUGUAGUUUAAGACUAUAGUUUUAGGAAUACAUAUUUGUGUCUUGAAACCACUAAUACAGACAGGGCCACAAUGGGAUUCGGUAAGUGUAAACCUUUGAUUUUGAUUUGUUUAAAAAUAAUAUUAAUCAAUUAUGACUUAAUAUUAGAUAUGGCUAAGUGGGAGUCUACCUGUCUCUAAUCCACCCAUAACCCAUACAGAAGACAUACUUAUGUCUGCUUGGAGAAAAGGACUUAUACCUAACAAAUUGAAAAGGAACAAGCAAUCAUGAAAAAGCCAUUUACAGUCACAAAGCUACGGAGCUAUAAAGGUAGAAACGUGGGUGGGUUUUGAGAAUAGGUCACAGGACUGAUAUUGCCAUGAUAGCUCAUGCACACUGUCUUGUUUAUUCAGUAAAGUGAGAAUUAUCAGGAAUUCAAAUUGAAUUUCUAAAUUCUAUUCCAAGGUAGCCAAACUGAAAACGCAGCUGACUUGGAGAUUUUUUUCAAUUUAGCUAUUUUGGUCUUAAAUUUUAAAUUCAUAUUAAUAACUGCUAAUCAUCGAAACACGGGUUGGGGAACGACACCUUGUGUUGAUUUCCUUAGCAAUUAAAUGAUUCAUUCACUACAAUCCAUUGCUUAGUGAAUAUACCCACGAGCUGUACCAUUAUACUCUAUCAAUAUAUGAAAAUAGACCAAAUUAAACAAUAAAACAUAUUUGGACAUAUGCAUUGCUUCUCCAUGUUUAAUAAACAUCAAUUCCUCUCACUAAGUGACUCUAAGCAACCAUGGAUAUUCCUAACCCUAUAUUUAGUUACAAAUGUGUUAUAAACAAUAGAGCGAGUGAAACAGCAUCUUUAAUGGCUCGACCAACAGAAAUAAUGCCCUUUUAAGUCACUGCAACUGUAAAUGCAUAAGUAAAACUAACAUAAUGCCACAAUCUCGUAUCUGUUUGUUCAGGCACAACUGAUGUUCCUUUCUGUGUGUGUUCCAAGCAUUGUUUGCAGAAUGAAGGCUUUUAGCACCUGAUUACCCACAAUGCAGUGUGGCUGUAAGAGCAUGUUGUAACUUUGUGCUUUUUUUUUUUUUACAAUGAUUUUGAUGUUGAAAUAGUAUAAGGUAAAUAGGAUCUGCACAUCAGUAUCAGGCAUUUCAUCAAGUGUAAAUUAAUAUUAUAUUUGUUUUUAAUCUAAAGUGGGAUUUAUUCAAGAGAUUUUCAUAAGAAGAUGCUCAGAUUAUUACAUUUACAAUGCAAGAGUGAGAUUUGUUGUUGACUUUAUGAGAUUAUAAUGUAUCAGUUUUCAAGAAUUACCUAUUGUUUUCUGUUUGCUCUGUUCUUUAAGUUUAUUGCAGCGUUUUCUUUUUUUAUCUUAUGACAAAAUAUUGUAUAUGAGUAUUGAACAAUGGCUAAGGAGGCUCAACACAAUAUAAAGCAGAGGUUUUUUUUUUUGGUUUUUUUUAAAGGCAGAUGUCCAGAUAUUGUGGAACUACAACUUUGAUCAUGCUUUGCAAAAACAGCAAAACACUGCCUGCAUCAGUGGUGUAUCCUGGUUUUGUGCUGCCCUAGGCAAAAAAAUUCUCAAAACCCCCGCGCUACCCCCACCCACGCAACCGCCACCCAACCCUUCCCCCCUGCUCCCCCUUCUAAAUACACACACACACACAUUCACUGACAGAUACGCAUUCACUAGCUAACUCACUCACUAACAGACACACACACACACACACUCACUGGCAAACACACACUCACUAACAGGCAAACACUAACAGGCAAACACACACACACUAACAGGCAAACACACACACUAACAGGCAAACACACACACUAACAGGCAAACACACACACACUAACAGACACACACACUCACUAACUGACACACACACACACUCACUAACAGACACACACACACACUCACUGGCAAACACACACACUAACAGGCAAACACACCACACACACACACACACACACAUCCACACACACACACACAUCCACACACACACACUAACAUCCACACACACACACACACACACAUACACACACAUCCACACACACACACUAACAUCCACACACACUAACAUGUGUUUUUUUAUGUUUUUAUUUAACCCCCCCAGCCUCCUUACUUUUGCUGGGGGGGUUCUUCCUCUCCCUGGGGUCCUGGGGUCCUGGGGUCCAGUGGCUGCAGGGCGGGCGGGCGGCCGGCCGGCCGGCGAGGGAGCUCUUCCCCUGAGCGCUCUGCUCAGCUCCCUCGCGCGCCGCCAUCAGAGUGAGGCUGGGAGCCGGAAUAUGACGUCAUCAACCCGGCUCCCAGCCUCACUCUGCUGGCGGCGCGCGAGGGAGCUGAGCAGAGCGCUCAGGGGAAGAGUUCCCUCGCCACCCGCCCAGCGCUGCCCGCUCAGCAUGUCUGUUAGCCGCGAGGCUAACAAGGCAUUUGCCCUGGGAAUUUGGGGGCGGCUUUUUUGCCGCCCCCUGAAAAAUGCCGCCCAAGGCAAAUGCCUUGUUUGCCUCGCGGCUAAUACGCCCCUGGCCUGCAUUUAAGACUGACUUUAGGAAAACAUUACACGCAUCAUAAAAUAAUACACAUUGAGGCUAUAGUACACGUAAUCUUUUAUUUUAAUAAAUGUUUUCAUAGUAUUACAAUAGUAUUUCCUUAACUAGGACUCUUUUUUUUUUUUUUGCUGGAUAAUGUCUUUCCUUUAUGCAAAUGCAGAAAAACAUGGUCAUGACUUCGCCUUGAUGUCAUCAAAAAACUCCUUGUGGUUCUAUGGAACAUUUCUCCCAUGAAUAGAACGUUAGUUUACUCUUCAAUUUUUAGAUCGCUCAGUUAAAAAGGAUUCCUUGGCGAAACAAAGCCUAACAUUAUCUGUGUAAAAAUAGAAUGCCAGCCUUUCAUUUCUUCACAAUGUACAAGCUAUAUAUAGCUUUAUAGUGCCCAAAAAAGAACAAACUACGACAAGACUAAAAAGCAAAAAGAAACAGGGCAUGUCAUUUCUGGAAAGCUAUUAAAUAAUGAAUGCCACAUGUGUUUAAAGAUGUAACGAGGAGAAUAAAGCUAAACCUAUCGCGUGAUUUAAGAAAAUAAAUAUAGUAAAUACGGAGGAGGACAACCACGAGGUCAAAUACUGCUUUCUCCUCCAUUCCUUUUCCCCCCAUGUUGUUACCUGUUUAUGUUUUUUUUUAUUACUCUUUCUCAUUUUAUGUUUUCAGGGGAUUUAUAGAACUAUCCAUAGCCACUUACAAUUCUCAAAUAUACCAGACAGAUGUAGUAUGAUGCGGCCUCGAGGGGUUCUUCAUAGAUCUCAAUGCUGUACUCUUGUGCAUUCGUGAGAGUACAGCCACGACGUUGGCUCCUGGUGCUGAAGCAUCAAGAGCUGAAGAGGACUGACCCGAAGAAAAUGGCAGUCCUCAUGAGGGACAGGUUCAGGUAAGCAACACUCACCUUUUCCUGCCACUCUGGCCACCGGACCACCAGUAGAAUAAAUACUGCACCAGUCAACGAAAUGACAAUUCGGAAUCAAUCUAAAAAAUACAAAUAACAUAACAUAGUGCAAAAUGUAUAUAUAUAAUGACAGACCCCUUAUGUAAAGUAAAACUCACAGGAUUUAGAGCUGUCCCAGGCUCUAUAUAAUAUGCAGGAGGAUGCCUAAGAAGGCUAAAGGAUACAAAGUGCAGAAUCCAAAAUUUAUUAAACAAAUAAACAAUUAAAACAGGGACAAUAAGCAGUGUAUAAACACCGGACCACCAGCAAUGAUGUCACUGUCGGGGGUCUUUGCAAAAUAUGCAAAGUCCCGAGAAGGUGACAGUGCCCCUUUAAUGAUGAAAUAAAUAACUAGAUUAGCAAAUUAUUAUAAAUAAUAGAUAAUUAAGUAAACAACUAGAAAAGUAAAGCAGGGUAAUGGAUAUUAUUAAUGGCCCCCUCCAUCUCUUUAAUCAUGUUCAGUAUGACACCAGUGGAAGAUAGUUUAUUAUUAUUAUUAUUAAUUUAGUUGACAUGCACAAAGCAAAUGAACUUAAAUAUACAAAACUAUCUAAAAAAUGUUCAACUUUCUUUUUAGCUGGAAAUGAGGAAACAACCUUGCUUAGUCAUGUAACGUUGAAAUUCUUACACUUUAUAUGGUAUGUAGAUAGUCACUUCCUGUGCUAAUGUUUUAGCAGGUACGAUUGCUCUCAUCUGAAUUAGCACAUUGGGCUAAUGUCACAAUUUGUCCUAAUUAAGUUCCUUCGCUGCUACCAGAAAUUCAGGAAAUUUUGAGGCAUUCUUUUGCAAUUUUGAGGCACAUCUUAAAUUCCCCAUUUAGGCCUUGAUUUAACAAGAUUUCCAUAUGUUUCAAUGCCGUUAGAAAAGUUUCCAUGUGAUUUAUCUACAUAAGUCACUAUUAAAAUCUAUAGGAAGUCUUUUCACUCUGAUAUCUCUUUAUUUACAUUUAGUAAAUUCAAAUAGCUUAGUAGAUCCCAAAAGAGGCUGGAGAUAGUGCUACCUUAUUCCAGAAAUUACCAGUUAGGAAUGUCCUACUUACAUAACCCCUACUGUGUCUUCCUCCUUGGACAAAUAGUCAUUGUAGGUUGGUCUCUACAUGUAAAUGUGAUUUCGGUAAUUGUAUUAAUUCCUGCUCCUUCUAGUAGAAACUUCAUGUUUGCACAAUAUCUUCAAAACAGAAAUAAGACUUGUUUAACCCUCAGGCAGGGGGUCUAUUCACCUGCUAAGGACAUCCAGGAAAGUCUUUGAAACCAAAAAAUGUGUAUGUAAUUUUUUAAAAGGAACUCAUGGAUAGACCUUAUCUCACUUGUUUUACCUAAUCAAGUGGGUCUCUUAAUUCAUCACUCAGCCCUCUCUUACCUCAUGCAAACAGACUUUUAAAAGAGCUAUUUUACAUUAUAUAAACAUAUUAUUUGCUUACACUUUAAAUAUGUGUUAAGGUAACAAAAAAUCAAUACAGUGUUUUCUUUUGAUGGCAGGUAGACUGACACAAUAGUCAAAUUUAGAUGAAAUAUAUGUUUUUAUUGUAUUGCUCUAAUAUGACAUAUGUUAUUAUCAUUAUUAUCAUUUAUAUAGCGCCAACAUAUUAUGCAGCGCUUUGCUUUUAUAGAAAGAGGAUAUUUAGAGGUGAAUAAUGUAUAGCCUAUAUCGAGCAAGAAACCAGCAUGUGAGACUCUAUCUGCUGAUGUACAACAGUUAGUGAAAGUAUCUAAUAUGCACGUAUUUCCUCAAUUCUGAGUUGGACUAUACAAUCAAUCUAGUUUGAAAACGUCAGAAAUUCAGAAAGUCAGAUUGGUAGAGUUUAUUUCACUCGGUCCCUAAAACAAAUGCACCAUCAAGGCCACUGAAAACUUAACUACAAAGAACAGAAACCUGCACACUAUACUUAGAUGGCUAAAUGCUUUGGCCAUUGGUGUUAGACCGAACUCUCUAAGAGUUUAAGAUAUCUAAAUAAUGCUUAAAAUAGGACAACCGGGGAGGAAAUCACAUAAAACACCAGAAAAUGUACUUGCUAAACUAAAAAUGACUCUCAAUCCUAGAUCAGGUGCCUUAUUGGAACUGCAUUAAAGGAACACUAUAGUCACCUAAAUUACUUUAGCUAAAUAAAGCAGUUUUAGUGUAUAGAUCAUUCCCCUGCAAUUUCACUGCUCAAUUCACUGUCAUUUAGGAGUUAAAUCACUUUGUUUCUGUUUAUGCAGCCCUAGCCACACCUCCCCUGGCUAUGAUUGACAGAGCCUGCAUGGAAAAAAAACUGGUUUCACUUUCAAACAGAUGUAAUUUACCUUAAAUAAUUGUAUCUCAAUCUCCAAAUUGAACUUUAAUCACAUACAGGAGGCUCUUGCAGGGUCUAGCAAGCUAUUAACAUAGCAGGGGAUAAGAAAAUCUUAAUUAAAUAGGUCUCUCUUUACAGGAAGUGUUUAUGGAAGGCUGUGCAAGUCACAUGCAGGGAGGUGUGACUAGAGUUCAUAAAAGAGAUUUAACUCCUAAAUGGCAGAGGAUUGAGCAGUGAGGCUGCAGGGGCAUGUUAUAUACACCAAAACUGCUUCAUUAAGCUAAAGUUGUUCAGGUGACUAUAGUGUCCCUUUAAGUAUAGAGCAAAAGAGGGAACUAGUCUGCCAUAUUAGUAGAUCAGGUGUGACACAAAACAUUUGCACACAUAUAUACGCACACACAAGCACAUAUAUUUAUAUAAAUAUAGUACUCCUUUAUUACCAAAACUGUAUUGAACAUGAUAUGGAAAGCAAUAAAACUAAAACAACAGGAACACUAGAUUUUCAAGAACAAGCCAUAGAUUGUAAUUUGUAAACUUGCGCAUACUGAAAAAAAUGUGUUUCAGCAAAACCACUUUGUCCAAAAAUGAAAAAAUUGUGGGGAUGGGCAAAUAUCAGCCGUAUGGUUUUAUGGUAGUUUUUCCCCUUGGAUAACACAUUAGACAAACCAAAAGGGUAUAAUAUUUCUGUGUAUAUAUAUAUAUUGCAGUACAAUAAUAGUUGUGUUUGCUUAUAAUCACAGGUCAAGUGAGAAAAAGUAAGCAAUAUUAUGGCUAAUAUUCUUAUAGCUAGGGGACAGGCACUAAAUGUUAAUUAAUUUACAGAUCAAAUGAGCAGUGACAAAGAGGAGAAAUAGUAGAGAAGUAAAAAAUAAAAUAUGUUCUUAUAUUUCUAUAUUAUAUAUUUACUUUCAUUUCUGCAUAUAAAUAUAGAUUUUUCUUUUUACUGCACCUCUUUUUUCCCCUCUAUUUGUCACUUCUCACUUGACCUGUAAAUGAAAAUAACAUUUAGUAGCUGUCCCCUAGCCAUCAAUUAUCCUUUUUUUUCUAUCAAUUGGCUUGUUUUUUAGCACUAUGAGCAUAAUUAUGAAUCUCAAAUAAUAAUUGUCAUGCUCAUCCAUUGCUUUACUCGUAUGGUUGUGAUUUGGCUACAUUUCUGCUUGGAAUUCAGGAAUUUAUACAAUCACCCAUUACACCCAAGUUCAAAUGAAUUGCAGUUUGUAACAAAUCUCUAAAUCGAGUGUUUCUUAUUAUUAAUCUGUUAUGUCAACUGUUGUUACACUUUCCAAAGCCGAGCUAUAACCUUUCGCUCAUUUGGGAGAUCACAUACACAUUUUUAAUAGACUUGUGUUACUACAUAGCUCCAUGAUCCAGACAAAAAAAAACCCAAUAAAAUACACCACAACAAGUUAGAAAAUAGAUUUCUUUAUUUGCAUUUACUACUGGGAAAAUGGUCAACUAAAUGAUUGGUUACAUAUUAUGAGUUAGAGCUGUUGGGACAUGUUUCAUGCUAAAAAUAUUUAGGGCACACCCUUUGUACAUUAUGUAACGUAUACACAGUACUGUGUGGGAGAAUGCAUGAUGCACUGCUGGCUCACCAACAUCCACAUCACAACUGCUUUGCAUUCUCUUCAAAGACUUGUGUUAUCAAAAUAUAUAACACAUAAUUCAUAGGUUUGCUAGCAUUCCAUUAACUUGGUGUUUGCAUGACCACAAUAGCUUGUGCCAUCAAAGCACACGUUAAUGGCCCUUUAAUGUGAGAUCUCCUGACCGCAUAGCUCUGCACAGCAUCCACAUUAGCUGAGCUAAGACAACCAAUAGGCAGCCAUGUCUCUGUGUCUUUUUAACAAAAGUGUGAGGGUGCAUACUAGGCUGCCAUAAGCACAGAGCAAUGCAUAACCAUGAGAAUACUCAUUAAUGAGAGAGCAAUGUGUGUCCUGCCUUGGUGCUGCUGUAACAGUUCUUAGCUUGUAGCUGCCCAGUGAAGUGGCCAUACAUGUAGUUUAUAUGUCUCUGCCACUGGCCAAAUGGAUAGAUGUAUAGGCUAAAAAUAUAAAAAAAUAACAAAUGCAAUAUCAUUAUAUUACUAUAUAAAGGUAAAACAAUUUACUUACACAAUGGCAACAUACAAUAUUUAUCUCCAGGUUGCCUUUAGUUUAUUCCAAAAUGGAGUCCAUCUGAAAAAAUAAUUAGGCCUUAAAUACUCCCCCACUUCAGUUCUGGGAUUAAGCCUCAAACAAUCAAUGAAUAUGUCAACUUACAAAAAAAAUACUAUGUUGGAUGCUAUCUGAGCUGUCACUGACACAGUUACUAGAGGGGUUAAGAGUUUUCCCUUUUUUACUGUAUUUGUUUAUUUUUUAUUUAUUUUUCUUCUAUCUUGCCUAUAAAAUGCAGUCACUGAAAUCUCCAAAUCUGCUCUUGCAUUGUUUGGAUUUUGAGGCAGUUCAAUUGACUGAUUAAUGUCCAAAUACUUUCUAAUACUUUUGCAUAUUUUUGGUUGUAUUUUUUCCAAAUUGGUACAACAAAAAUCAAUUUGUUCCAUAGCUACAACAAAUAAUAAUUUUGUAUAAUUUGUUCAGAGUUAAAGGUGCACUAUGCUGCCAGGAAAACAAACUUGUUUUCCUGGCACUAUGUAGUCCUUAGGUCCUCCCCCCCCCCCAACCCUCAACUGCAGGGAUAAGACCUGGGUGACCUGGCACCCAGACCACUUCAUUGAGCGGAAGUGGUCUGGGUGCCUAUAGUGGUCCUUUAAAUAUAAUUAUUUUAUAAUUUGUAAAAAAAAAAAAUAUUUAUCAGUAUUGAAUGAACAGCAUGCUAAUGUGGACCAUUUAACAUUUCAAUGAUUUCAUGUAAUUGCUUCACAAUCUAUUUAGAAUAUAAAUGAACAAGGCCAUGUGUAUUUUAAAAAUCUUUUUUCUUUAACAACUCAAAGAAAACUAUUAUUUGGUCCUUUCCUUCAUAUAGUCUUAAUUGUUUGCCAUUUAAAAGCUUUUAUCUGUCACAUUGAAAUAUUCCAAGCAGUGUUUACACAUAACACCCUGGUAGUAUUAACAGGUGAGGUCCAGUCUUUAGUGCUGUAAACAAGUCUUCUGAUAACAAGGGUAAAUCUAGGGAUCACUUUUGAUUAAUGAGCAAAAGAAUUGAGCUAAUAGUGUUAGUAUAUUGUCUCUUCUCAGACCUUUCCUUUUCUUUCUUGAUGACCAAAGGUCAUGCCAAAUCAGAGAAAGCUACAUUUUUGGUAGAAUGCAGUUUAGCUAUAACCCUCAUUCUCCCUCAUUCUCCCCAAGAAAGCAUUUGGUUUCUCAUGGGUUGGUUAAGAAUUACGAGUAAUCUUAGAUCACCUCUAAGUGCUGCAAUGCGAGGAUUGUCCCUCACCAGCUGCAAUCGCCACUCAGUUUUGACUAGCAGAUAUCUGAAGUCCCACUGGGAGUCCUGAUACGGCAGAGCCUGUUUGGUUCUGGCAGCCAAGAGUGCCGUGCAAAGCCACCUCGAGUACCAUGGAUGGCACACGUGCCCUAGGUUGCUGACCCCUGGAAUAGUUAGGCAUGGUUCUACACUUGAAGCAAUCGCCAUUGAAUUCAAUGGCAUCAGCCGGAACAUUCCUCUGAAUUCCAUAUGGUCUGCUCCACCUCUAUAACUCUGCCCAACUUUCUAUUAGCAGACCUUAUGUUAACCCACCUCGCACACCCUUCCCAUGGUUCAAGGCUUCCUGGAGCCUUAGGGAUGGAUCUCUGUUUACUUUAAAAUGUUUCCAUAGCCAAUCAGAAUUCUCUAAUCACUUUAUCUAAUUCACUAACCUCUAUUUCACCUGUAGGUUUACUGAAAUUUAAAUUGGUAUACAUUUUGCAAUAUUUCCUCAAUAGUUUUCUUUUAUAUGUUUAUAAUAUAUUGAUUGCAAGGUUGAUUGUAUUGCAAGUUAAGUUUCAAUCAUUCCUAUCACCCACACUCACACUAUACACUAAUACAGGCAUAGGCAACCUUCAGCACUUCAGAUGUUUUGGACUACACCUCCCAUGAUGCUUUGUCAGCAUUAUGGGUGUAAGAGCAUUAUGGGGGAUGUAGACCACAACAUUUAGAGUGCCGAAGGUUGCCUAUCCCUGCACUAGUAUGUUAAAUGGAUUAAUUUAUUGCACAGCACUUGACAGUAAUACAGCGGCAAGUAAUCAACAGAUGAAAUAAUGCUGAUAUUGACACUAUUUUGAUAUGUACAUAUCUAGUGAUAACUUUCAGAAUGCACCCUGCUUUACUUUCAGCAAACAGUUUGGAAUAUCAGUUGCUAUAUAUACACUGUUUGUUCACUCAGCUCUAUACACAAAUAGUAUGAAGUUGUCCCUGCUCAUAUGAUACUGUUGUAUUAUUAGCUGAUUACAUAAUACCUUUGAGUACAACUCUAAGGUCAAAUGUAUAGAUAGGCAAAAAAUACGUUGUCAUAUGUGGGACCAUUUCAUCAACCCGUUAACCCCUUACAGUCCAUGCACCUAUUGCAGGGGUGGUUAUUCUACUAAUACUAAUAACUGGACACAUUUUUUCACAAAAGAUUUUUCUUCCAGUAGGUAAAAAAAGUUCCAAUCGCUGCAAGGAGAUCUAGAUUUUCCAGUAGGUAGAAUAUGUAUUUGGCACUUAUAAUCUGCUUCUAUAACACACCUAUAUACAAUUUUAGGCUAAAAUCCAUGAACUGAAACCAUAGGUGACUAGGAGAAUUUCUCCAAUUCAGCUAUUCAGCCUAUAAUUUUCAAUUUCUGGUCAUUCCAUGGCCUUUCACAUUUUAAUAAUAACACAGUCAUCAAAUGACUUUUCCCUGCUAAAUCCAGUUCAUUAUGAUGUGAGCCUUAUUACAGGAAUAUAUAUUUUAGUUUGGGAUGGGUUGAGGACCAUCUAAGAAUCAUGAGAUUAAAAUUGUUGGUUGAGUUACACACAAAUUUGCCCAGAGGCAGGAAUUCUCAUUUUCACCUACCUCUUGUUAAGAGCUAAAGGUUCCUUAUUUCACUUUACUGUUAAUUUUCUCUGGGAAGGAAGGUUCAUAACAAGUCGAAGAAAGGCUGUUCAUUGCAAUUUAUAAUCCAAUUUGCACGUAUUUCUAUGUAAUGAAGUUAUCUUCACUGCAGAACUGCAAGGCAUUCUCCUAAUUAUCUGCUAUACUAGGAAUUUGUUACUAAUUAUUCACUAAUUAGAAUGCGUACGCGCACAUACACAUAUACUAAGCACAGGGACACUAUCCAAUAUAAAUGAUAAUCAAAUCUGCUCCAGUUACUAAAUAAACACUUCUCUGCAGCUGUUCUGGAACUGCCAAACCCAGAAAGACAUAAGACAGGCAAAGAAUCAUGGGAGUUGUGUUUCCAGAACAACUGGAUGUAUAUAUUUUGGGCAACCUUAAUUUAAUCUCUUAAAGACCUGAAAUGGUCAACACAAUAACAAGGAUCUUAUCUCAGUCAGAUGACGAUUACAGGGUGGUAUUAUUAAUAUUACUAUUUAUAAAGUGCCAUGUUCUGCAGUGCUGUACAAUGGUACAGAGCUGUCGUUGAUCAAUAAACUGGCCAAUUCAUGCUGGCAUAAGGUAUUUAAGUAUCAAAUAUCAUGACAGCAAAAGUGCAAUAUUUGGUCAUUAAAGGGUAAAUGUUUGUCAGAUGUAAACUGUUUAUCAGACAUCCUUGGAAACUUAACUGUGAAUUAAUGCUCAUAGUUGUGAGAUCCAUGGAAAACUAUAUCCUUGAUGAAACACAGAUUACUUCCUGUAAUUUCAGACAUAAUUAUGCAGAGAGCAGUGUGCAUGGUGCGUGCUCAUCACUGCGUGUACAGAACUACUGUAAGCAGGGUUAUGAGCUGCUUGGAAUGCUGUCAUAUCCCAUGAGAACGGACUUGGACUUCCCUUGCACAGUUCUUGGACUUUGGUGACUCAUAAAGAAAAUGGUAUGUGUGUGACACGUUGUAAUGAACUGCCAUCAGGUACUUGAUAUUGUUCAUUAAUCGAGCAUCUGUAUAUUUUUAAUUCCAGGAAAUAAAAAGACAGAGGCACAAAAGUGACCUAAUGAAUUACUCAAAAGCUGAUUCAUCUCAAACAUGCAGCGAUGGAUGAAAUGUUCCCUUUUCUCCAUUUUAGUGAAUUCUCUAUCUGAAAGAGAUAAUGUUAACUCCUGCUUUAAAUGGAGCUUAUCGACAUAUUAAGAUUACAAAAUCGCACAAAACACACAUUUUUUUUCAUAAAGCUACAACAGGAACUGAG